GGCAGCACAGAACAUGGCGCCGCGUCCUACUUGCGCUGCGGUCGCCUCACGGAGACCCCCGGCCAUGGCGGUUGUACCGCGGGGUUUGCCGUUGAGUCGUCCCCCCCCUCCCUCCUCUCGCCGUCCUCCUCCUCUUCCUCCUCCUGCUCGCCCAGGAGUUUUUAAACUUUAAAGCGCAGCUUCCGCCGCCCCGCGCCCGCCUUUGUCCCCCCCCCUCCCCGGAGCACACCGCGCUCGGUUCGGCCGCCGCGUCCCGCCGCGCUGCCCCGGGCGCUGCCCGCUGAGGAUUAUUAUUCAACGCUCGCGCUACCGGCGGCGAUGCCCCAUCGCCCGCAAAAUAAAAAAAAAACAACAACAGGAAAAAAAAAUGCCCAAACCAAACCCAACCAACGCUAAGCGUCGGCUUCAAAAUUCUUUCCUUUUAUCUUCUCAGCAUCUGGAGAGAGGGAGAGAGAGAGAGAGAGAAAGGGCGCGUUCAUGAGGACUACAAAGUUACAAAUAUGGCUCCCCAGUCUCUCUUGCCUGAUCACUGCAAAGAAAUGAAGACGCACUUUAAACUAAACCAUUCGCAACUCACUCGCAGUCCCUGCCUGCCUCUCCCUAGCCCAGCACCCUGCACAAAUAUUUGCCAACUAAACACGCCGAGAGAGAGAGCAGCGAGCAACUUAUUUUUUAUUUAAUGCACGGCCAGCCCCUCUCCGAGGCAUCGCAGCCCGGCACGGGCAGGAGCAGCCCCGGGGAGCCCCCGAACGUCCCCGGAGCGCCCCGCGCCCCCCAAAGCGGGGGGCACAGCCCCCCACACACACAGGUGCUGCAGGAUGAGGAUCCAAGCCCAGAGGUGCUCUUUUUCAAGGAUUUGCGAUUUCCAAACUGUUCCCAUCAGCUGGAGCAGAACUCAGGACAGGAUGGGGACAAAGUCGCAGUUGUGAGCAUGGAAGAAUUCCAGGAAUAUGGAUAAAGCCAGCAGGAAUUGUGUUUGGAAUAGGAUGGGAAAAGCUGGAUCCAACUCCAGGUGUGUCCAGAGGUGGCUCCUGGGCUGAAUCUUCAGGAACUUUUCAUGGAAUUUCUGCUCCUGGUGCUGCUGAAAAACACUGGAAAAGGACUUUUCUCCUGGAAAAAAAAAAUUGCUGGGACAAGCUGGGAUUUCAAAGGAAUUUCUGGGAAUCCAGAGCUGCUUUUUCCUUUGUUUGUUCCAAAGAAAAAUGUGGAUUUUGUUUGUUUGAAGGUGCAGAAAAUUCCUUUCUCUUUCAUUAUUGAGGGAAUUUAUUCCCAGUUCCAAGCCAGAAUUCCACGUUUAAAGCUGCUCCUGUCGUUAUUUGUAUUCCAAGAGUUUGGGAAUUAAAAAAAGAUUGGGAAUUGUAACAUUGGGAAUAAACCUGAAGGGUUAUUUUUCCAUGGUCCAACUUUCCUUCUGUGAUUUUUCAUUCCUGAGGGUUUUUUCCUGCUUUGUGUUCAUAGGAAGUUUGAAUUUGUGGGGUUGGUUUUUAAUGGGAAUUGUUGGGAUUUUUUCCUUAUUUGUUUUUAUCAGGAAUUUGGAAUUGAUGGGAUUGGUUUUUAGCAGGAAUUUGAGGUUUUUAUCUUGCUUUUAACAGGAAUUUGUAAUGUAAUUUGUAGGAUUUUUCCCGUUUAUUUUUAAGAGGGAUUUUGAAUUUGUGGGAUUUGUUUAUACCAGGAAUUUUUAAUGGAAUUCUUGGGAUUUUUCCUUGUUUAUUUUACCACGAAUUUUGAAAUUAUUUGGAUGUGGUUUUAAGGGGAAUUUUCAAUGGAAUUUGUCCUGUCCAUUUUUACCAGGAAUUCUGAAUUUAUGGAAUUUUUCAUAGUUAAUUUUUUUACAGGAAUUUGUGGUGUUUUUUCCUUGUUAAUUUUUACCAGGAAUUUUCAGUUUCUGGGAUUUUUCCUUGCUUAUUUUUAAGAGGAAUUUUGAAUUUGUGGGAUUGGGUUUUUUUGCAGGAAUUUGAGGGGUUUUUUUCCCUUGGCUAUUUUAACAUGGAUUUUGAAUUGAUGGGAUUUAUUUUUACCAGGAAUUUCUGGGAUUUUUCCUUCUUUAUUUUUCUGGGAAUUUUGAAUUUUUGGGAUUGUUUUUUAGCAGGAAUUUUUAAUGGAAUUAGUGGGAUUUCCCCUUGUUUAUUUCCCACAAGAAAUCACAGUCUUUCCCUUUCUUUUCUCAGGAUUCCCUCCUAAAUUCCACAGGAAUCCUCCCAAUCCUGCCCCGCAUUCCUGGGGUGAAUUCCCAUGGAAAAUCCCUGGGAAUUGUUUGUUGAUCCCUUGAAUGUCCCUUUGUUUUCCCACACAAAGAAUUCCUUCUUAGGAGCAGCUCCCAGCUCUGCACAGCUGGGAAUGGAAAAAUCCCCAGAAUUCUCCAAAUUCCCACCCUCAACAUUCCCAGCUGGGGAACUUUGGGAUGAAACAAAUCCCUGGGAUCCAGGAAUUGCAUGGAAAACACCCUUGGGAUUCCACAAGAAUUUCCAAUUUGUGGUUUAACCCCUUAAAAUUGGAAUUUCUGCAGCAUUCCAGGGAAAAAAGUGGGAAAAUCUGAUAAAAAUAUGAGGAAAUGCUGAUUUGAAGGUAAAAAAUGAGGAAGAAAACU